rnacentral:rRNA from 1 species
GACGAACGCUGGCGGCGUGCUUAACACAUGCAAGUCGAACGGAAAGGCCCUGCUUUUGUGGGGUGCUCGAGUGGCGAACGGGUGAGUAACACGUGAGUAACCUGCCCUUGACUUUGGGAUAACUUCAGGAAACUGGGGCUAAUACCGGAUAGGAGCUCCUGCUGCAUGGUGGGGGUUGGAAAGUUUCGGCGGUUGGGGAUGGACUCGCGGCUCAUCAGCUUGUUGGUGGGGUAGUGGCUUACCAAGGCUUUGACGGGUAGCCGGCCUGGGAGGGUGACCGGCCACAUUGGGACUGAGAUACGGCCCAGACUCCUACGGGAGGCAGCAGUGGGGAAUAUUGCACAAUGGGCGGAAGCCUGAUGCAGCAACGCCGCGUGCGGGAUGACGGCCUUCGGGUUGUAAACCGCUUUCGCCUGUGACGAAGCGUGAGUGACGGUAAUGGGUAAAGAAGCACCGGCUAACUACGUG